UGGCGAUAGUUUAGUCAGUAGAGCAUGAAACUCUUAUUCUCAGGGUUAUGGGUUCAAGUUCCACAUUGGACAA